rnacentral:tRNA from 1 species
UGUCAAGGGUUGGGAAUCGAACCCACGACCUUCCGCUUACCGGGCAGAUGCCAUGACCACUAGGCUACUCUGGAC